UACGGGGGGAGCAAGCGUUGUUCGGAUUUAUUGGGCGUAAAGAGCGUGUAGGCGGCUUUACAGGUCCGUUGUGAAAACUCGAGGCUCAACCUCGAGACGCCGGUGGAAACCGUAAAGCUAGAGUCCGGAAGAGGAGAGUGGAAUUCCUGGUGUAGCGGUGAAAUGCGCAGAUAUCAGGAAGAACACCCGUGGCGAAGGCGGCUCUCUGGGACGGUACUGACGCUGAGACGCGAAAGCGUGGGGAGCGAACAGG
rnacentral:rRNA from 1 species